AUGCUGUGGCAGACUCAGCUCCUCUGGCUCCUCGUGCUCUGGGCGCAGGGCUCGACCGGGGACAUUGUUGUGACUCAGACCCCAGAGUCCCUGGCAGUGUCCCCAGGAGACACAGUCACCAUCCAGUGCAAAACCAGCUCCAGUAUCAGCAGCAGCAGAAUGAACUUGCACCAGCAGAAACCAGGGCAGGCUCCUAAACUUCUUCUCUACGGCACAAACAACCGCCUCUCUGGGGUCCCCAACCGGUUCAGUGGCAGUGGGUCUGGAACUGACUACACUUUUACAAUCAGCCGGGUGGAAGCUGGUGAUGCCGGAGACUAUUACUGUGAGCAGAGUGAUAGUUACCCUCUCACA